rnacentral:sRNA from 1 species
AUACAAACUAAUUGCUCCUGUAGUUGUUCAUUGGUCAAUUCAGUAGAGGAAAAGAGAACUGAAAAAAAAGAUAAUCUCAAACUAAUUCCAUCACAGGGUAACAUCUGUCUGCCAGUUGCUCCAGUGUAUAUGAAGACUGCUUCAAGUUAGCUGACCUGCCUAGUCAAUCAGUACCCUUGACUUGUAAUGGACAUAAUGAAAGACUGUUGUUCCAAGACAAGUUAUUCAGUACCCUUGUCAUGUAAUGAACACGUGAAAGACUACUGCUCCAGUUUAACCACCCUAGCAAGAUAGACGGAACCCUUGUUUAGAAUGGACACAUGAAAGAAGCCUGCUUCAAAUGAGCCACUUUGCUAUCUGAUGCAUUUGACUGUGUAAUAAAGCACUUAAAAUAGACAGAUAUCCGUUGCUGGAAAUCCUUGCUAGAAAUCCCUUGCUGCAAAUCCC